rnacentral:snRNA from 1 species
AUAUUUUUCAUCUACUGUAACUACCAUAAUAAAAAAGUCUGUUCUUAUCAGCUUAACAUCUGAUACGGGUUCUAUAUGGACCCACGAUAUUAAACCUAUUUUUGGAAGUUGGCGGAGUGCUUGAAGCCUGCUUCACCUCCGCCGCAGGUCGGCCCGGUAUUGCACUACCUCCGGGAUCGGGUCCCGCUCA